GAGCUGAGUGGCUGACAUCAUCAGGCUGAGCAUUGGGUUACAACAAAUGGGGACUUACUUGGCCCGAGAUGUGGGAAACACCCACUAAAACCUCAAAGUGCAUUUCAUUUAGAGACGCGGAGAGGGAGAGCGGGCAAGAAAGAAUCCAGACUGCACCGCUGGCCUGGUCUGCUAAUCUCGCUAACCCUCAAAAGGGAGGUGUUUUGAAUCCUGGUUUCUUAAAUUCUCCCUUCGCUUGUGACCGAGGAGCCCUGGACUUCGGAGAACUCUUUGCUCUUAAUUUCCACACUGAUUAGUCAACAGUGGAAAAUCUGAAGAGAUGCGAGUAGGAAAAAGAAACUAAACCAGGUC
rnacentral:lncRNA from 1 species